AACCUUACCAGGUCUUGACAUCCCGAUGCUAUUUCUAGAGAUAAGAAAGUUACUUGGUACAUCGGUGACAGGUGGUGCAUGGUUGUCGUCAGCUCGUGUCGUGAGAUGUUGGGUUAAGUCCCCGCAACGAGCGCAACCCCUAUUGUUAGUUGCCAUCAUUCAGUUGGGCACUCUAGCGAGACUGCCGGUAAUAAACCGGAGGAAGGUGGGGAUGACGUCAAAUCAUCAUGCCCCUUAUGACCUGGGCUACACACGUGCUACAAUGGUUGGUACAACGAGUUGCGAGUCGGUGACGGCGAGCUAAUCUCUUAAAGCCAAUCUCAGUUCGGAUUGUAGGCUGCAACUCGCCUACAUGAAGUCGGAAUCGCUAGUAAUCGCGGAUCAGCACGCCGCGGUGAAUACGUUCCCGGGCCUU
rnacentral:rRNA from 1 species